CUACGGGGCGCUCCAGUGAGGAAUAUUGCACAAUGGGGGGAACCCUGAUGCAGCAACGCCGCGUGGAGGAUGACGCAUUUCGGUGUGUAAACUCCUUUAUAUGUCAAGAAAAUGACGGUAGCAUAUGAAUAAGCACCGGCUAACUCCGUGCCAGCAGCCGCGGUAAUACGGAGGGUGCAAGCGUUACUCGGAAUCACUGGGCGUAAAGGACGCGUAGGCGGGUUGGAAAGUCAGGUGUGAAAUCCUACAGCUUAACUGUAGAACUGCACUUGAAACUUCUAAUCUAGAGUAUGGGAGGGGGAGAUGGGAUUAGUGGUGUAGGGGUAAAAUCCGUAGAUAUCACUAGGAAUACCUAAAGCGAAGGCGAUCUCCUGGAACAUUACUGACGCUAAGGCGUGAAAGCGUGGGGAGCAAACAGGAUUAGAUACCCCGGUAGUC
rnacentral:rRNA from 1 species